GUCAUGUUUUUUGAGUUUCUGUUUUCUUAGUUUCACGGUUUUGAGGUAUUUGUUUUCUUGGCCAUGUGCUCUUAUAGUCAUGUGCUUUUGUUUUCCCUAUCUCUGUCUCGGCCUCUGUUUGUUGUGCUGAUGUUCAUGCCCUUUCGUUACUUCCUGGUUCCCUAGUUCUUGUUUAUUAAAUCAUUGGUCCCACCUGUGUCUUGUUAUCUUAUUAGUCCUGUGUAUUAAGUCCUUGUGUUUCUUCAGUUGGUGCUCUGUCAUUGUUUGUGUCACCUCCAUGCUGUCUCACUGCACCAUUCCUAUGUGUACCUUCCUGAGAGUGGAUAAAGAGAACUCCACAUCGCCUCCCUCUCCAUAUCCUCAUGAUGCCUGUCACAGUCCAUCCCUGCUGGACCACAUUCUAUGGAUACAUCUCAAUGAGUGUCUCUCUGCUGUGAGGGGAAGCAGGGUACCUCGCACUGACUGUGGCCAAUAAAUCAUUCUCCCCUUCCUUAUCUAAAGCCAAGUGUGCCGAUGACACGCUGUGGGAACACAAUCAGAUGAAAAGGAGACAUCGAGCAUGUAGGGCCAGCGAGGGGUUUGAUGGGAACCAUGCAGGGGGAAGGAUAUGGGAGGGGGAAGAGAUCACAGGGAUGAGAUCCAUGCCUGCGGUGAGUUAAAAGAGUCACACUCCCAAAGCUAGGCCCUCCCUGCCCUGGUCGAGCUGUGGUCAGACAAGAUUGAGAAUUUUAACUAAGAUGGUGGAUGGUGCUUUCCGCAUGAUAAUACUUUGCCUUGCCUUAUGUCCAAGUGGUUUUGCUAUUCAGGGAUGUUCUUUUUAAGGUAGAUAAGCUAUUUUACAUUAUCCUGCAUUGAUACUUGUCCUCCCUGUUGGAACUAACUCCAUGACCUUGGCGUAAGGAGUAGCAGGAUCUUCUAAUUAAUCAGCAAAGGCAAAGGAACAGAAGAACACUUAUUCUAAGUUGCCCAGUAUUCGGUCACACAGUGUUAAAUAGCUGUGUAACUGGUCAGCAUGUGCCUUGAUAUUUUCUCUCUAUCUCCUGUUUAAAGAAGGGAAGUUAGUUGGGCAUGGGACCAAGACUAAGCACUGUCUGUUAUGUGCCCCAGCCCUGAUAAAUCACAUUUCUCUCUCAUUAGUGCAGUAAACUGCCCUUGCCAGCACUCUGUGCGUUUCAAGAAAAGAAAAAAACCCAGCAGAAGCUAAGUAUCAUCCCCUCUUUAGCCAGAGGAGGAAGUCUCUGCAGAGUCCUUCCAAACAAUCUGGAGGCCAGUGAACUUAAGCCAUCAGUGCCAGUCAAACUUGGCUCGACCAAUU
rnacentral:lncRNA from 1 species